AAACCUUCCCUCCGAAAGUUUUAUGUUACCAUUGGCUCAUUGACCCCCUGGAGGUGUGAUCUUGCCAGAAGUUAAAAUAACUGUUUUUUCUCUCUCAUCAUCUUCUGCUGCUCUUCUGCUUCAUCUUCUGGUUGGUGACUACAGCCAUGGAAGAAAAUGCUCCCAACCACCACUGAAUCAGAGUAACGUCUUUGGAGUUCAUCACUCUUCAAACCCAGAAAAACGGGAUUGCAAUUCCAACACCAACAAACCAUCAAGACUUUCAUCUGAGUCUGUGUCCGAUGCUCAUUCAAUGGCCAAGAUAAUCUUUCUACUGAUGAAUACCUGUGGAUGACUACUGUUUGAUUCACCCUGAAGUUUGCCUUGUGCCCCAACAGAUCUUCUGAGGAUGCUAUCUCCCAUAUCCUGCAUGCUAUUCACACCGACAGCAAUAAAGGGAAUUAUGUGAGGAUAUAGCUUAGCCUUCAACACUAUAGGCCCCCACAGAGUGGUCUCUAAGCUCAGGGACCUUGGCCUGAAUGCCC
ensembl:lncRNA